rnacentral:ribozyme from 1 species
UGCACCAACUUCACAGAAUCCUCUCGGGCCCGUCGAAGCACAUCAUCCCCCAAUGACAUCCGCGGGGCAGAACCCACACGCUCACAACA